rnacentral:rRNA from 1 species
UGGGGAAUAUUGGACAAUGGGCGCAAGCCUGAUCCAGCCAUGCCGCGUGAGUGAUGAAGGCCCUAGGGUUGUAAAGCUCUUUCACCGGUGAAGAUAAUGACGGUAACCGGAGAAGAAGCCCCGGCUAACUUCGCGCCAGCAGCCGCGGUAAUACGAAGGGGGCUAGCGUUGUUCGGAUUUACUGGGCGUAAAGCGCACGUAGGCGGACUUUUAAGUCAGGGGUGAAAUCCCGGGGCGGAACCUCGGAACUGCCUUUGAUACUGGAAGUCGAGAGUAUGGUAGAAGUGAGUGGAAUUACUAGUGGAGUGGUGAAAUUCGUAGAAAUUCGAAGGAAGACCAGUGGCGAAGGCGGCUGACUGGAGCACUGCUGACGCUGAGGUGCGAAAGCGUGGGGAGCAAACAGG